rnacentral:misc_RNA from 1 species
UGUUGUCCGCUAUUUACUCUUAAUAAAUAGCUGACCAUAAGUACUCCGCUUCAUUCCAGAAGUAGUCCGCUUCAUUCGUUACCGCUUUUUUAUUCCUUUUCACUACUCUUGGCCAAUGUUUAGGUGCCAUUUGCAUGCUAAAUAGUUGCGGUGUGAGUAGCAGGCUUUCCUUUUCACCAUCAACCAACCAUCUCUCUUCAGCUGUUUGCUUCAUCUAGUAGCCGCAUUUAGGUGCAUCUCAUCAAGCAUUUUCUUUGGUUUCCAGUGCAACGAGGUAUCCUCAAGCACACACAUGGAGCUUGAGGGUCUGAAGAGGGCUCUCACCUCCCUUGAUGAAAGCGGCAUCAUUGUCACUGAAGUGGUGACUGACCGGCAUCCACAAGUGCGCAGGUACUUCAAGUCUGAGAGGCCUGAAGUGGACCACCUGUUUGAUGCAUGGCACGUCUGCAAAGGGCUAAACAAGAAGCUCUUGCAGGCUGCGAAAUCCACAGGAUGCGCUGCCAUUGGCCUGUGGACACGUUCAAUCGUCAACCACCUAUACUUUUCAGUGCACUGUGGGAAUGGCAAUGGUGACCUUGCCGUGGCUGUGUGGCUUUCUGUAAUGAACCACGUGCAAGAAUAACACCAUGGCCACAGCCUACUUUAAGAUAGAUGCCAGCAUGGCGACCUUGAGCCACGGAAAUGGAUCUUUCCAGGUACCCAUGCUUAUGACAAGCCGUCCGGCCUGUUGACGAACAAGAGGCUUCUGACUGACAUCCGUCUAAUUUCGCCACACAUGCAGACCUAUAGCGUGGAAUCUUUUCAUGCAAUAAUCA